rnacentral:rRNA from 1 species
UACGUAGGCAGCAAGCGUUGUUCGGAAUUACUGGGCGUAAAGCGUGCGCAGGCGGUUAUAUAAGACAGUUGUGAAAUCCCCGGGCUCAACCCUGGGAACUGCAUCUGUGACUGUAUAGCUAGAGUACGGUAGAGGGGGAUGGAAUUCCGCGUGUAGCAGUGAAAUGCGUAGAUAUGCGGAGGAACACCGAUGGCGAAGGCAAUCCCCUGGACCUGUACUGACGCUCAUGCA